CCUACGGGAGGCAGCAGUGAGGAAUAUUGGUCAAUGGGCGCGAGCCUGAACCAGCCAAGUAGCGUGAAGGAUGACUGCCCUACGGGUUGUCAACUUCUUUUAUAAAGGAAUAAAGUGAGGAACGUGUGCCUUUUUGUAUGUAUUUUAUGAAUAAGGAUCGGCUAACUCCGUGCCAGCAGCCGCGGUAAUACGGAGGAUCCGAGCGUUAUACGGAUUUAUUGGGUUUAAAGGGAGCGUAGAUGGGUUGUUAAGUAAGUUGUGAAAGUUUGCGGCUAAACCGUAAAAUUGCAAUUGAUACUGGUAGCCUUGAGUACAGUUGAGGUAGGCGGAAUUCGUGGUGUAGCGGUGAAAUGCUUAGAUAGCACGAAGAACUCCGAUUGCGAAGGCAGCCUACUAAACUGCCACUGACAUUGAUGCUCGAAAGUGUGGGUAUCAAACAGGAUUAGAUACCCCGGUAGUC
rnacentral:rRNA from 1 species